rnacentral:misc_RNA from 1 species
GAGGCCAGUGUCCCGGGCACCGCCGUAGUGACAAGACAUAUACAUCCCUGCUCCUCCCCUCCAUUAAUACCCCCCCUCACCCGGGGGAUCUCGCCCCCCCUCUCUCACUCACCUACCUGCUCCACCCUAACAGUUACCUACCUCCCAACAACGUUCCUGCCACGGUAGUACAAUUCAACUUGUGAUAUAUACCCAGAUUUGUGCAAUAUAUAAUGGAAAUCAUGCAGCAAGGUACGAGUCAUAUUGAGAGUCGCUGGAGACCCCAUAUUAUACCCUACAACAGUCAUGGGAUGACCCUGCCCAGCCUCCAAGACCAUCUCAGACAGCAGAUGGUGCAGCAUCAGCAGUCAGAUCAACAGCAGGAACAUCCGACAGAACAGCAGCAGCUGCAGCAGUCUGAUCACCAGUUACAGCAGCUGCAGCAGCUACAACACAAGCAGUUAAUUAAGCAGAGACAGCAGCAGCAGCAGCAUCAGCAGCAGCAGCUUGAUGUUCAGUGUGAAGAUUCUGCAGCUUCCAGAGGGCCAGCAGCCUCUCCACGCCUCCCAAAGUUGACACGCCUUACGCCCUUAGUUACGGCCAGCUCAUCUGGCUCCCCUCCUUCCACGGCAUCCCCAGGAAAGAGUGGUGGGAAGGAUGGAGAGGAGAAGAAGAAGGGCGGGGAGUGGGAGCAAUAUAACGCAGGGGCGGCCUUCCUGGGACCAACCCUCUGGGACAAGACGCUCUCCUACGACUCCGAUCUUAAGGUUUCGCUGGAAUAUAUGGACCUUGAUGAGUUUCUGAAUGAAAAUGGUAUUCCUGCUGAGGAAAAUGUUAAAGCCAGUGUAGGAAACUGUAAUGGGAGCAGCAAUGAAAAUGCUGAUAAUCCAAACAGCAGCAUAAACAACAGCAGCAGCAGCAGUAGUAACAACAGCAGCAGCAGCAACACCAGCAGUAAUAGUAGAAAUAGUAACAACAACAGUAACAGCCUUUCUCCGGAGGUGCCAUCCUCUCCCGAGAACCCUCAUAUGGGCUCGGGUAUGGGUGUGGUACCCCAGGUACCAUCAGGCUUGAGCGGUGCUGCACCUGCUGCUCCCAUCAUUGUGGCUCCCCCCGCCCUCUCUCCUCAAGACUACUCCGGGGAUGGUUAUUCUUCCUCCCCAGAGUCUCCUGACCCACUCUCUCCGUCCCUUCAGGUCCACGAACCAGACAAGACUCGAGCAAGUCAGGGGAGAGAGAUAGUGUCUGUAAGACUGAAUACUAAGGAUGAUGCCCAUGUCCUCAACAAUGUUUCUGGAGCCACGGCCCAGCCACCACCUGGUAACGAUAAAUUCGUGCCCUGCAUUGACUUCAACAUAUCUCCUAAUGAUUUAGCCCUUGCUACAGUACCUGGACAGGACUUUGACCCACGAACUCGAUGCUUCUCGGAGGAGGAGCUCAAACCUCAGCCCAUGAUCAAGAAGAGUCGCAAACAGUUUGUUCCACAUGAAUUGAAGGAUGACAAAUAUUGGGCACGACGUCGGAAGAAUAAUAUGGCUGCCAAACGUUCUCGAGAUGCGCGAAGGCUCAAGGAGAAUCAAAUUGCUAUGCGGGCUAACUUCCUAGAGAAAGAGAAUAAUGCCCUGACUGCAGAACUGCAGAAGGCUCAGGCAGUGAUGGAAUCAUUGAAGAAGAGACUGGCUAUGUAUGAGGCAGUCUAAUAUUCCACAACUACUCCACACUUAUGAUCUCUGGGUGGACUGGAACAGAUCUUAUCCGAUUGGGAACUCAGUACAUCAACAGAAAACAUAGACUAUUCUGAACUUAGCACUGAGAAUUCAAAUGGAGAAAAUGGUGACGGAGGUGGAUUCUCUGAGAAGUCGUCUCAGCAAGUACGAAGACGUGCAAGGACUCGAGCUGACUAGCGUGCAUGAAACUCACUCAGGACGGGCUUUGCUC